CCAAAGUUCUACGUGGACGGGCCUUAAUUGUGCUUGAAAGUCGUCACUUCGAUAAUCACUUCACUUUUCCUCCCAAGUUACUCCGAAACACUUCACUUUUAGUGUGUUUUCACUUCGCUCGAAAAUUAGCAAACGGCAGCACUGGUCAAAGUGCUUAUCUUUUCGAUAAUUUUCUCGUCAAUGUUUUGAUAGGCACAGUUGAUUGCCCCUCCCUCUUAUACUACGUUUACAUAUAAGUAGAUUGAGAUUAUAUUUAUAUGUAAAGUAUAAUCUCAAUCAAAGCACGUUUUUUAAUCUCCAACGGGGCACAGACAAAUCUCAGAUUAUUAGCUGUCAAUUUGUUGUGCUUGUUGUUCUCACAUCUCAAGGAAAAUUUAAGUUCCUUCUUUUCCGUGGUCAAUUUUUUCUGAUAUAUUAAGCAAUUUAAAUAUAUUUUAACUUAAUAUUUGUUUAAAAAUACCUUUAUCGGUUUAAUCUGAGAUUAUUUAAUAACUACAGAUUAACGAGGGACAAGUUUUGUAUGGCUAAUCUCUUUUUCUAACUAAAGAUUAGGGAGUUAAGCUCGAAAAUGAGGAUAAUUUACCUAUAUUUAAACCUAGUGAUAUGUAUUAUGUGUUUUGCCCCGUCUGGCAUCACCUUUAGUACAUCUUGUGUUCAAUUGUAGGCAUAAUACAUUGCAUCACUUUAAGAACACACCAUGUUUCAUUUCUAAUAUAUUACAUUACUUUAUGAACACAUUACGUUACUUCUGUUAUAUUACACCAACUCGCUACUAUGCAUAUAUAUAUAAUUGAUAUAUGAAUAAAGCGGCUACUCGCAGCUUAACAUCUAAAAAGUGAAGUCAUCGUACUGGCGACGAGAUAAUUAGAGCUUAUUAAGCACUGUAUAUACAGUUAACAUACCGUUCUUUUUUCUUAUACGAACAAGUAUAUAUACAUAUACUUCAACUAAGGCGAUGCUAGGAAACGAUUCUGCUAACGGAGCGGGUUUUGUGAUAAAGGCGACCAAUGCGCCGGAAUUCUGCCCAGCACGGAAACUUGGAGCAUCUGGAAAGAAAAACUAGAAAUCCAUUUUAGUGAAAUAAAUUGUACUGACGACAAUGAAAAAAAGGCGGUUUUACUAAAGUCAGUAGGGUCGGAGCCGUACACUCUUUUGCACAAUUUGUGUUCUCCAGAUUCUCCCGUGUCAAAAACGUUCAAGGAAUUGUGUAGCAUUUUAAAUACCCACUACACACCGCCAACAAUUGUGUUUCAUGAGCCCAAAAUGUUCCACAAAUCUACCAAAGGCAGUGAAGAAUCGAUUUCCACGGGGUACGCUAGAGUAAAAAAGUUAGCACUGAACUGCAAAUUCGGUGAGCAUUUAAACGCAUUUGUAUUAGACCAAUUUAUGAUGGGCUUACCAGAAGGAAUCUUUGAAAGAUAGUGCGAAGAAGACGACCACUUAACCCUUGAAACUGCACUCAGGAAGGCACUGAUAAUAGAAUUAAAGCAAACUUCAAAGGUUAAUCAAGCGGAAGAGUCUAACGUCAAUUACAUCAAAAGGAGUGCAAGCAACAAGCAUAUACGAAGCAGCGGUGGAGAUGGCGGUACCAGUGGUGAACGGCCUAAGGGAAGCAACGACAGGAACAAAAAAGGCACUAGCAAUAACAACAAGACGUCACAUGUUGACAGAGGCUACAGGAAAGCUUGUUCACACGGUGGCUGGCGAAAUCAUGACUCGCAUCAAUGCAAAUUUAAAAAACAGCAAAUGUCACGCUUGUGGAAAAACAGGACACUUGGCAUCUGUGUGCUAUUCCAAUUCUAAUAAAACUAUUAAUUACUUAUCAGAUUCUGAUAAAAGUAGCCAGAUUCUAAUGAUAAUUUAAAUUUUUCUGUUUAUAGCGUAUCCGGCAGCAGUCCAUAUUAUGUUUACUCAUUACCAGUUGAAAUUGAUGGUGUGAAAUUGGAAGUUGCUUGUGACACCGGUGCUCCAAGUACUUUGAUCCCACUGUUACUCUUCCAGAAUUGGCCCAACGAAAGAAUAUUGAGGCCAAGUAAAACUCCGUAUGUAAAUUAUAGUCGGGAUAAAAUCGAUUUAUCCGGUGAGUACGAUGCUUCAAUAACGUAUCAAGGUGCCACAAAAAAGCGUUAAAAAAACUAAAAAUCCACCGUUGCUAAGACGAACAUUUUUGAGAACGUUUAAAUUCGAAUUGUGUCAAAUAAAUUCAAUCGGUGCCAAUCGAAAUUUUUCGGUACUCACUGAUCAAAUUAAAGAUAAAUUUUCGAAACCUUUUAGCGAUGGUUUAGGCCUUUAAAAAACAACAAAAUAUCGUUAUCGGUGUGUGAAAACGCCAAACCAGUUUUCUGUAAGCCGCGACCAUUACCACUCGCUUGGAAAGACCGAAUUAAAAGGCAAUUAAGAGACCUAAUAUCUAAGAAUGUCUUAGAGCCCGUGGAUAAUUUGGAGUGGGGAACUCCUUUAGUGCCAAUUUUAAAACCAAACGUUGAAUUGCGCAUUUGCGGUGACUAUAAAGUCAUGAUCAAUAAAUAUUUAAUAGAUUAUAAAUAUCCGUUACCACGGAUAGACGAAAUUUUCGCUGCAUUGCAAGGCGGCAAGCUAUUCACCAAGUUAGACUUAUCCAAUGCAUAUAACCAGUUAGAACUAGAUGAAGAAUCACAGCUCUUAUGUACAUGGAGUACAUACAUUGGGACCCUCAAAAUGAAGCAUAUGCCUUUUGGCAUAAAGCCAGCCGCAGCUAUAUUCCAAAAAAAAAAAUGGAAAAUCUACUCCACGGAAUUCCGUGCGUGGUGGUAUAUCAAGAUGACAUUACAGUCACAGGCAAAGAUUUGCAGCAACAUAUUACACACUUAAAACUUGUACUCAGAAAACUAGAAUGUGCAGGUCUCAAAGUAAAUUUAAGCAAAUGCGCAUUUUUUCAAAAACAAAUUAAUUAUCUAGGAUUUACUUUAGAUGAGCAUGGGCUACGCAAAAAUGAGGAACGUGUUUCAAGCAUAUUAAAGGCACCAACUCCUAGUAAUACUUCCGAGGUUAAAGCUUUGCUCGGAAUGGUAAACUAUUAUUCCAAAUUUUUCGAGCAAGAUGUCUCCCCUUUAUGAAUUGCUACAAAAAAACGUAAAGUUCUAUUGGUCACGUAAAUGCCAAGAGGCGUAUGACACUAUAAAGAAGGAUGUUACAUCUGAUCAACUCCUGACACAUUUUAAUCCAAAUCUGCCCAUUAUUUUAACGACAGACGCAUGUAGCAAUGCAGUCGCUGGGGUUCUAGCUCACAAAUUUUCAAACAAUGACAUCAAACCGAUAGCCUUUGUUUCUAGGGCACUAUCAAAGAGUGACAAAAAUUACAGCAGUCUUGAAAAAGCUCAAGCUUUAACUACUCGAUAGAAUAUGUAAAGGGUAGUUCGAACACUGCGGAUAGUUUGCCGCGAAUUCCACAACUUCAAUGCAAAAAAGAGCAUAAAGAAAAUAGUUUUAUAAAUUUCGUGGAAGCAGAGAAUUACUUAAACUUUAAUUAUAAUGUGAUUGCCAAAGAGACAAGACGAGAUGCUGUAUUAAUAUUCUUUAUAUUGUCUAAAUUAUGCGCGGCCAUUCAGAAUGGUACAGUGAAAGAUUUUAUAAUUUUUUGUGUCACAGAAUUGAAACAGUACCUUCUAGGUAGUCAUUUCACUUUACGCACUGACCACAAACCACUGUUGUCAAUAUUUGGAGAUAAGGGCUUGCCCAUUAUGGCAGCAGCUCGUAUGCAACGGUGGGCAUUCACUCUCUCAGGCUUUAACUACUCGAUAGAAUAUGUAAAGGGUAGUUCGAACACUGCGGAUAGUUUGUCGCGAAUUCCACAACUUCAAUGCAAAAAAGAGCAUAAAGAAAAUAGUUUUAUAAAUUUGCGGACUGAGGUCAACAGAGCACACACUUGUAAGUGGAGCUACCAUAGUUCAGUGACGAGGACACAACCACAAUCAGCCUAGAGGCGAGCGGACGAAGGGCCAGGGUGACAUCCAUGUACCUGGCCCACGGCAAGCCAAUCCCAACGACAGCGGUCGCAAAGCUGGGACCGGGCUUUGGUCCUGGGAGGGGAUGCGAACGCACACCACAGCACGUGGGGCAGCGGAGAUAUCAAUGAACGAGGUGAGUUACUUUUUGAAUACAUACUUAGAACAAACUCAGUCAUAAGUAAUAGGGGUAGCGAGCUUACCUUUAUAACCAGAAGCACAAAAGAGGUCCUGGACGUAACCCUCGUUUCAGGGGAUGCGGAAACUAUGGCCUGAAAUUAGAGGAUGCUUGAUGAGCACUCCUUCUCUGACCAUCGCUACAUACAUUUCGUCUUAGAGGGGGUUCCGUCCAAGAUGCCCUCCAUUAGAAACUUAAAAAACGCCAACUGGCAUAAAUAUAGGGAGGCGCUUGGCAAACCACUCUCAGAAAUCACAUUAUCAAUACCAGAUAACUCUAGGGAUCUGGAUAGCCUGUUCCAUCGUUUCACGGCAACAUGUGGCAAGGCUUUGGAUCACCUUGGUGUCCCUAGAAAUAGAUGAGGCCCGUAAACUCUGUCGAAAAGCCUUUAAUCUUGCUAAAUCCUCGGGUAGUAAUAUGCAAUGGGAAACCUAUAAGUCGAACUUAAUACCAUGUCCCCACCAAAAAGUUAACCAUCUCAAAU